AGCUAGCUGAGACACUCAACUCUGAACUCAUAAUUUCAUUCGAUUAUUUCAAUUUCCUAAAUUUAAGUUGUCACCUUUUUCCACAGAGAUCUAAAACCAAGCGGAAAUUAUAUAUUUUUUCCUACAAAACUGUUUGUUCUAGUUAACGAAAUUUCGUCUUCAUUUAAUUACAGGAUGCAGUGUCUUCGUGUCGAACGGAUCAGAGCCUCAGCGAGCUCUUGGUGUUCUUUCUAAAGCGAAUAAAGUGCAUUCCUGAUAAUUUCCGAGUGUAUUGCGGAUGUGGAGAAAGUCGGCCUGAAGGCAAACAGAUAUUUCCAAGCACCGACCCCUGCGCCACUCGUCGUCGUCGUCUGGACUUCCCACUGCGCCCACUGGGUGGGGGUACUGGCUGGGCCCAUCAUACUCGCGCUUCUUUUCAAGCUUAUCUACGACAUUAGCAAAAUACGACGCGCAACAUACAUAUGUUGGAGUGGAUCCGGCAGAAAAACCGGAGCCUGCCGAAGGGGAAGGACUGGUGCCCGCAGAGCCCGAAAGGACGACGCAUGGUAUUGGGAUCCGCUUCGUGGAUUUAAUCUGCAUUGAUUUCGUUGCUAUUGUUGAUAUUGCGGCGAGAGGAAUCGGACACGGCGGCACUGAGCUCAGCUCAUCCCAACUGACGCCCGAGUCCUCGGAUGCCUCGGAUGGUGGAGUGACUUCUACUUAGGCAGCUGCCGGUUGUUGCUGCUGCGCCUGAUUGCUGUUGUUGUUGUUGUCGGAUCGGAAACGCUUCUCCUCCAAGGCCCACCCGCCCGGGCUCCGAGUCGAAAGCGUGGUAACUGUUCAGCUUUUGGAUGGCUUUCAGGUAAGCCAAACGCUCGGGCGACUUCAUCUUCGGGUCCUCGAGCUCUGCAGGGGCUGCUGCUGCUGAAGCUCUGGACCCCAUUCUGGAUAUCUGCUGUAUCCUGUGUCCCUUCUGGCGUGCUGCCUGCCACUCGGUUCCUCAAGGAACCGUGUCUGUUUCUGCUUCUGCAUCUGUGAGCCGUGCACGCGAUUCGUCCGGAACAUGCGUUGGCCUUCCGCUGGGGAGAUGAUCUCAUUAUCGCCAUUUGGCUUCUUUUGCGGCGACAGCUGCUGCUGCCAGUCGUAUUUGCCGGGAGUCGACCAUUUGUUCCUUGUAGCCUUGGAAGGACUUUCUUUGGCUGCCAGCAUGGCCUUGCGCUCGAUCUCCUUGGUCCUGGCCAUCCACCUCUCUCUCUGAUCGGAAAAGCUUUCCUUAAGGGAAACUGCAAGAGAAGGAGGAUAUACCAUUGCCAUUCUGAGCAGAAAAAAGUACACGAAAGUCUCACCUGUCUU